CCUACGGGCGGCAGCAGUGGGGAAUUUUGGACAAUGGGGGCAACCCUGAUCCAGCCAUUCCGCGUGAGUGAAGAAGGCCUUCGGGUUGUAAAGCUCUUUCGGCCGGGAAGAAAUCGCAUCUCCUAAUACGGGGUGUGGAUGACGGUACCGGAAGAAGAAGCACCGGCUAACUACGUGCCAGCAGCCGCGGUAAUACGUAGGGUGCGUGCGUUAAUCGGAAUUACUGGGGGUAAAGCGCGCGCAGGCAGGUGAAAGCCCCUGGCUUAACCUUGGAACUGCGUUUGUGACUGGUGGGCUUGAGUGCGGCAGAGGGGGGUGGAAUUCCACGUGUAGCAGUGAAAUGCGUAGAGAUGUGGAGGAACACCGAUGGCGAAGGCAGCCCCCUGGGUCGACACUGACGCUCAUGCACGAAAGCGUGGGGAGCAAACAGGAUUAGAUACCCGGGUAGUC
rnacentral:rRNA from 1 species